rnacentral:ncRNA from 2 species
GUGAUUAUCCAGCCCGCAGGUGCCCCAAAGGGGAGAAUAGGGAAUCAGGUGAAAGUCCUGAGCGGUCUCCGCCACUGUAACCGGGAAGCAGCCCUGCAAUGCCACCGCCAGGGAAGGCGUGGGGCAGGCGAUGAUCCGGGAGCCAGGAUACCUGCCUGCGGGUGCCUUUGACC